CCAGACUCCUACGGGAGGCAGCAGUGAGGAAUAUUGGUCAAUGGGCUUACGCCUGAACCAGCCAAGUCGCGUGAGGGAAGACUGCCCUAUGGGUUGUAAACCUCUUUUGUCAGGGAGCAAUUGGCGCUACGUGUAGCGUUAUCGAGAGUACCUGAAGAAAAAGCAUCGGCUAACUCCGUGCCAGCAGCCGCGGUAAUACGGAGGAUGCGAGCGUUAUCCGGAUUUAUUGGGUUUAAAGGGUGCGUAGGCUGUGAGGUAAGUCAGCGGUGAAAUGCCCCCGCUCAACGGGGUGAAGUGCCAUUGAUACUGCCUUGCUGGAAUGCGGAUGCCGUGGGAGGAAUGUGUGGUGUAGCGGUGAAAUGCAUAGAUAUCACGCAGAACUCCGAUUGCGAAGGCAGCAUACCGGCGCCCAACUGACGCUCAUGCACGAAAGCGUGGGUAUCGAACAGGAUUAGAUACCCUCGUAG
rnacentral:rRNA from 1 species